rnacentral:tRNA from 1 species
GACGCUACGGACUUAAAAUCCGUCGAUUUUUUAAAUCAUG